rnacentral:rRNA from 1 species
AUUGAACGCUGGCGGCAGGCCUAACACAUGCAAGUCGAACGAGUGGCGGACGGGUGAGUAAUGUCUGGGAAACUGCCUGCUGGAUGGGGUUAACUACUGGAAACGGUUGCUAAUACCGCAUACCAUCGGAUGUUCGCAGCUGGGAUUAGCUAGUAGGUGGGGUAAAGGCUCACCUAGGCGACGAUCCCUAGCUGGUCUGAGAGGAUGAUCAGCGACACUGGAAAUGAUAGACGGUCCAGACGCCCACGACAGGCAGCGGUGGGAAAUAUUGCACAAUGGGCGCAAGCCUGAUGAACCCAUUGCGGGGAUAUGAAGAGGGCCUUGGGGUUGUACAGUACUUUCAGCGGGUAGGCGUUACCCGCAGAAGAAGCACCGGCUAACUCCGUGCCAGCAGCCGCGGUAAUUC